UACGUAGGGAGCAAGCGUUGUCCGGAAUCAUUGGGCGUAAAGCGCGCGUAGGUGGCCAUGUAAGUCCGCUGUGAAAGUCCAGGGCUCAACCCUGGAAUGCCGGUGGAAACUGUCAGGCUCGAGUCCGGAAGAGGCGAGUGGAAUUCCUGGUGAGCGGUGAAAUGCGCAGAUAUCAGGAGGAACACCAAUGGCGAAGGCAGC
rnacentral:rRNA from 1 species